rnacentral:rRNA from 1 species
UACGGAGGGGGCUAGCGUUGUUCGGAAUUACUGGGCGUAAAGCGCGCGUAGGCGGCCCGGUAAGUCCGUUGUGAAAGUCAAAGGCUCAACCUUUGAAUGCCGAUGGAUACUGCCGGGCUCGAGUCCGGAAGAGGCGAGUGGAAUUCCUGGUGUAGCGGUGGAAUGCGCAGAUAUCAGGAGGAACACCGAUAGCGAAGGCAGCUCGCUGGGACGGUACUGACGCUGAGGCGCGAAAGCGUGGGGAGCGAACAGG